UACGUAGGGUGCAAGCGUUGUUCGGAUUUACUGGGCGUAAAGGGCGCGUAGGCGGCAUGACAAGUCACUUGUGAAAUCUCUGGGCUUAACCCAGAACGGCCAAGUGAUACUGUCGCGCUAGAGUGCGGAAGGGGCAAUCGGAAUUCUUGGUGUAGCGGUGAAAUGCGUAGAUAUCAAGAGGAACACCUGAGGUGAAGACGGGUUGCUGGGCCGACACUGACGCUGAGUGCGCGAAAGCCAGGGGAGCAAACGGG
rnacentral:rRNA from 1 species